rnacentral:rRNA from 1 species
CCUACGGGGGGCAGCAGUGGGGAAUAUUACACAAUGGGGGAAACCCUGAUGCAGCGACGCCGCGUGAGUGAAGAAGUACUUCGGUUUGUAAAGCUCUAUCAGCAGGGAAGAAAAUGACGGUACCUGAAUAAGAAGCCCCGGCGAACUACGUGCCAGCAGCCGCGGUAAUACGUAGGGGGCAAGCGUUAUCCGGAUUUACUGGGUGUAAAGGGAGCGUAGACGGCAGGACAAGUCUGGAGUGAAAUGCCCGGGCUUAACCCCGGAACUGCUUUGGAAACUGUGCAGCUAGAGUGCAGGAGAGGGAGGUGGAAUUCCUAGUGUAGCGGUGAAAUGCGUAGAUAUUAGGAGGAACACCAGUGGCGAAGGCGGCUUACUGGACUGUAACUGACGUUGAGGCUCGAAAGCGUGGGGAGCAAACAGGAUUAGAUACCCCUGUAGUC